UGCGUAGGCGGUCUUUCAAGCCAGAAGUGAAAGGCUACGGCUCAACCGUAGUAAGCUUUUGGAACUGUAAGACUUGAGUGCAGGAGAGGAGAGUGGAAUUCCUAGUGUAGCGGUGAAAUGCGUAGAUAUUAGGAGGAACACCAGUAGCGAAGGCGGCUCUCUGGACUGUAACUGACGCUGAGGCACGAAAGCGUGGGGAGCAAACGA
rnacentral:rRNA from 1 species